rnacentral:rRNA from 1 species
UACGUAGGGUGCGAGCGUUAAUCGGAAUUACUGGGCGUAAAGUGUGCGCAGGCGGCCGAGCAAGUCGGGUGUGAAAUCCCCGGGCUUAACUUGGGAAUUGCGCUCGAAACUACUUGGCUGGAGUGUGGCAGAGGAAGGUGGAAUUCCAGGUGUAGCGGUGAAAUGCGUAGAGAUCUGGAGGAACACCGAUGGCGAAGGCAGCCUUCUGGGCCAACACUGACGCUCAUGCACGAAAGCGUGGGGAGCAAACAGG